ensembl:rRNA 5S_rRNA 5S ribosomal RNA
UCUAGUUGCAUAAGAAAUCAUACCUUAUGCCGCGAUCCCAUCCUAGCUCACAAGCCAAGUGUUGUCUGGGUGGGUCAGUACUUGGAUGGAUCACCUCCAAGGGAAGCCCAGGUGCUCUAGAA